rnacentral:rRNA from 1 species
AUUGAACGCUGGCGGCAGGCCUAACACAUGCAAGUCGAGCGGAUGAACGGAGCUUUCUCCUGGCUUCAGUGGCCGACGGGCGAGUAAUUCCUACGAAUCUGCCUGGUAUUUGGGGCUAACGUCCCUUAACGGGCGCUAAUCUCGCAUACGUCCUGAGUUUGAAAGUGGGGGAUCUUCGGACCUCACGCUUUCUGAUGAGCCUAGGUCGGAUUAGCUAGUUGGUUGGGUAAAGGCCUACCAAGGCGACGAUCCGUAACUGAUCUGAGAGGAUGAUCGGUCACACUGGAGCUGAGACACGGUCCAGACUCCUACGGGAGGCAGCAGUAGGGAAUAUUGGACAAUGGGCGAAAGCCUGAUCCAGCAAUGCCGCGUGUGUGAAGAAGGUCUUCGGAUUGUAAAGCACUGUUAGUUGGGAGGAAGAGAAGUAAGUGAAUACCUUGAUGUUUUGACGUUACCAACAGAAUAAGCACCGGCUAACUUCGUG